UCUGCUUCCUGAAUGCUGGGAUUAAAGGUGUGUGCUGCCAAUGCUGGCUUCAAGAUGUAUUUUCUAUGUUGAUUUAAAAUCCUCUAAAAUGUGCCUUUCCUUACGCUUAUAGCAUGCAUAUUAACAGGUUGAUUGUAUUGGUUUUAAGAAAAAUAUCUCCCACUGGCUUAUUUAUUUGACUUCUAAGUGCCCAGUUGGUAACCAUCUAUUAGGAGGUUUAGUUGUUGGAACAUUGUUGAAUAAAGUAUGUCACUUGUGGUCUGAUUGGAGAAAAAAAACCCACAAGUCUCCUUAUUUCUCACCUUCUUAGUGAUUGGGAAUGAAGAUGUGAAUUCUUAGCAUUCCAUUCCACCAACAUCAUUGCUUGCUGUCAGUCCCCUCUGCCAUGAUGGACUCUUUUAGAGUCCCCUGUGCUAAAUGAAGCAUGUGUAUUAUCCCCUCCAAAUAAAUAUGUUUUACCCCCUAUGCUAAAUGGAGCAUAUGUAUUACCCAUACAAUUUACUAUUGCUGCUCAUAUGUAGACUUAGACUCACCCUCUGAUGAUAACUAGAUCAAUCAAAGACUUUCCCUGAGGCCCUGAUACAUGGAGAAGGAAUACCAUUCUUCCUCUAUAAUGAGGAAUAUGCUUGGCAGAGCCAAAAAUGGUAAGGGUCAAGGGACUUGGGGGGUUGUGGCUUCUGACCUAAAGAAUCCCUCUCAACACUGUGGGGGCUAGAAUAUCUGUCCCAAGUCUCCUGUGUGCUUUUCUCUGUUGCUGUUGAGAUAUCCUAGGUUCCCCUCAUGCAACAUUGACUAGUUGGAUAGCCCCAUAUUCUAUUUCACUCUUAAUAUAUUCCUUUGUUGACAGUGUACUAUUCUCAUUUUCAUGAAAAUGCUCUAGUAUAUGCUGAACUUCUUAAUAACCAUGCUUGGCCUAAGGCAUUGUUUGUGCAAGAUCUGCUUAGCCAAUCAUUUCUGUCUCCUUUUUUUCUGGUCCUUGGGAGCCACUCUGUCACUGAAGAACAAUUUCCUGGUCCAGGUCAAAGGAACAUUCUAGAAGACAUGGUGGAAAGCUGGAAAAACCAGAGCCAGAGAAUGGCAAAGACUGCAGUGAAACUACUUUUGGGCCUCACUGCUUUUGUGUUCACCUGUACAGUUCCUGAUGAGAUUGGGGCUAACAACAUUUCAUCAAGGCUGAAAAUAGGAUUCUCAGAGGUGCCUGCUGAGGUUGGAAAAAGGCAUCAGAUCUCCUGGAACUGGUUAUGGAUCAGUAUUUCUCAACUUGUGGGUCCUGUCCCCAAAGAAGUCACCUAGGAACUUUGAAAACCACAUAUUUCUGAUGGCCUUAGGAACUGAGACACUGCUCCUCUAUUCCUGUCGAAGUGGGUCUUCCCACAUGCAGGUCAAUGAAAACUAAAGAGAGAAGAAAUGGAACUGAACGAUUGGGAUGACAAUAUUUUACACUCCUCAGUUUCUUCAUUUCAAACAACAUGAAGGACAGACAGUGCUUUUCUCUCUUCUGAGGAUCUCAUUUUACUUAUUCACACAAAGCUCACAAGCUUGCAGAGUAGUAUUCGCCAGAAUCCUGAGAAGGAGCUAUGGAGAAUUUAAAAAAAAUAUCCUCACAAGCAGAAACCAGACUCCUGCAAUUUUGCAACAUUUACUCUCUGUACAAAGCCUAUUGAGCAGGGUCUAUGUUUUGCUAAUCUUCCCGGGAGAAGUAAACAGCCACAAAAGUGUCAUCAAUUCCUGAAAUUAAAACAUUAGUGUAUGAGCCAGCUGUGUAGAUUCACUGCCUUAAUUCCAGCAUUCAGGAGGUGGAGGCAGGCAGAAUUGUUGUAAAAUCAGGCUUGAUCUACAUGAUAAAUUCUGAACCAGACAGGGCAACAGACUAAAUUGUUGAUUGUAGCUGGAGUUUUUCUCUCCAGCUCCCACCAAGCCCCA